AGCCCAGAAGGAUAGAUUUUAAAAAGUUUGCUGGAGAGAAGCUAUUUAAAAGUACAAGACAAAGUUAGUUUCAAACUUAAGUCUUGUCUGGGAAGGCUGGGCAUCUUGUAUCCUGUUGGGAGAUGACUUGAUUGAUGAAGAAAUCUGUUAAAACAGUGCUCCCUUCCUUUCCAUCGCAAGGACAAAAUUGAAAUACGGAGAAUACCCAAUGUGGGCCAGACAUUGAUCACCUUGGGGCGUUACUUGUGUAAACGACACCUCCCGCCUGACUAGAAAUCCACAAUCACUCUCCAUCAACGGACUUCUCACGGUUUCAGUGCAGGAAGAAAGAAUGAAGCCGAAAAAAAAAGGGACUUGAACAUGUAGAAAUGGAGAACUGUGGUUUAAAAAGAGCUCUUUCCAAGACCCCCGGCCUGAUGCAACUCCAGGACAAAUGCCAUCUUCACAUGUGAAAAUUCAUCAGAGGGUUAGACCAACUUGUGCGCAGGUUGAGACGUUAACUAAGAUGUUCUGCCACCUGGUUAACCACCUGCGACUUGCUCUUUCAGAGCCUGCAUCUUUGAGAGGAAACAGCCCCAUGCACUUAGUCUCCCCAGGAAUGGAAUCUUUUGAAUCCUGACAGGAGCUUCUGCAGCUCCCCCAUUGGACCAAGCAGAAUAACAUCAUUACAGAAGCGGCAGGGCCACCAGGAAUUCCUCAGAAUACAAAAUAACUCCGGUGUCUGGAAUGGCUCAGGUUCUGUUGCUCUGUUUCCAUUAGUUACUGUUAAGUUGAAGUCAAAAUCUGACCUGGUAGUUGUUGUUUUUUUCUUCAAGCUUUAGAAAUUAAUCUCUGACUAGAGUAGAUAUCUCAUAAUUUGAUUCUGUCCAGGGACAGAACUUGGGCUAAGGCAGGGAAAGAAGAAAAACACAACUGAGCAGUGGUUUUGUGCUGUCAGUCACUGGAGAUAUUUUGAAAUGGGUCUCCCAAAUGCCUGGAAACAGAGAGGUGGUCAAAACGAUCUCUGAAGUGUCUCCCAGCUUGUAUCUAUCGCUUUCUCUUGACUGG